UAAUUCUCAUUUGAUGGAACGAUAUUAUAUGUUUCGUGUCUUCUAAAAAUUCCUUUUUAGAGUCUUAUAGCCAAAUAUAAAAGUUUAUGACUGUUCAACUCUGGUUGUAAAACAAGAGGAGUCUGGUUGUCUUUUUUUACUCUGGAAUUCAAUAAUUUUUUUAGUGCACUUACCACUCAAAUAAACUAUUCUUUUUUUAGGUGUCCAACCCAGAAGUGGACCCAGAGAAAAUAAUAUCGUCUUCCUCUCUAAAAAAGAAGCGAAAAAAUUUAUCACGAAAUCAACUGAAAUACUACAUUAAUAAAAACACCUUUUACAAAAGAUGGAGAGACUGAAGAGUGAGGGGAAGCUCAAAAUCUCAUUAAGAAAAUGAAUUAAAUGUUGUUGUAUUUUUGAAUUUUUGUAUUUCAUUUGUUUAAGUUUUAAAAUUAGUUAGAUUAGUUAUAUAUUUUUUUUUAACUUGUUAAAUAAAGACGUUAAAAUCAA
rnacentral:lncRNA from 1 species